AGCCUCUGGCUGCAGCCUGCGGGACGGGGCGGGGACAUCCACAUCCACAUCCAUGUGCUACGUCACAUUUGUUCUGCGCAUGUGCGGAACUUCUCAUUAGACAUUCGCUGGUAGCGCUUGUAGUCAUGCUUGUAGUAAAUUACUUUUAGCAGUAGUUUGCAGAGGUGUCAAGUAACGAAGUACAAAUCCUUCGUUACAUUACUUAAGUAGAAAUUUUGGGUAUCUAUACUUUACUGGAGUAAUUAUUUUUGAGCCGACUUUUUACUUCUACUCUACAUUUUCAAGCAAGUAUUUGUACUUUCUACUCCUUCAUUUUAAAAAUAGCCUCCUCGUCACUCCUAAUUCAUUUCGGCUUGUUUUCAUUCCGACUCAUUGUUGAAUCCAGAUAGAGAGAAUUUGAUUGUGGUUGGACGAGAAGUAUAAACAUAUCCCAUUCUGACACUAUUGGUUUGUACGCGAUCCGUCACACCACCUGAACGUGACACAAAUCAUUACUCUCCAACAAGGACAUAGCAAACGUAGCAAAGUAGCCUACAAAGAUGUCCAUGGCAGAGAAGAGAACCUGAGCGAAAUGUCCCAACCAAGCACUAGCGAAGAGGUUGGUAGUCAGGAAGACCUAGGCAAUCCUUGUAGGCUACAUCCCUGGAAGAACUUUUCGAAAAUGGUUGGAUGGAAAAACAACUCCAGUCCUUUCGGAUGCACUGCUGCAAGCUCUGCGCACCCAAGUACCACGAGCUAAGGCUUUCAAAAACUCGCCGUGAAAAACCAUAUUGAGAAGAAACACCCAACCCGUCUAUAGAGAUGAAUAUGCUUGCAGUGAUGGGUGGGAAAACACCCAAAGACACCAUCAAGCGUAUAAUGGGGAGGCUAUUGAGCAAAUCCUUGGCUUUGCAAUUGAAUUGGACAGGUCAAGGGGGAAAGGUGUCUUUCAAGACACUACAAAUGAAAACGGUGUUGCACAGAGCUGGACGCAAGAAUCCACCAACCCCGGGAUGUCAGAGAAGACAUCAUUCAGAAGGAGGUGUCCGUGUUUUUAAAAGGGGCAGCCGACCUAGAGGGGGGGGUGACAGGAAAGGCAGAGAAGGAAGGAGAGUUUGGCCAAUAAUGAGCAGUAAUAUAUGAAUGUUAUAUGUUGUUGUUGUAGGCUUAUGCAUUUUAUAUAUAUUGUGCUAUAAAGCUGUGCUAUAAUAUAUAUGUAUAUUAUUAAUGUUAUCUGUUGUGUUUAAAUUAGCAUAUUGUAUU